CUACGGGACGCUGCAGUGGGGAAUAUUGCACAAUGGGCGCAAGCCUGAUGCAGCCAUGCCGCGUGUAUGAAGAAGGCCUUCGGGUUGUAAAGUACUUUCAGCGGGGAGGAAGGGAGUAAAGUUAAUACCUUUGCUCAUUGACGUUACCCGCAGAAGAAGCACCGGCUAACUCCGUGCCAGCAGCCGCGGUAAUACGGAGGGUGCAAGCGUUAAUCGGAAUUACGGGGCGUAAAGCGCACGCAGGCGGUUUGUUAAGUCAGAUGUGAAAUCCCCGGGCUCAACCUGGGAACCUGCAUCUGAUACUGGCAAGCUUGAGUCUCGUAGAGGGGGGUAGAAUUCCAGGUGUAGCGGUGAAAUGCGUAGAGAUCUGGAGGAAUACCGGUGGCGAAGGCGGCCCCCUGGACGAAGACUGACGCUCAGGUGCGAAAGCGUGGGGAGCAAACAGGAUUAGAUACCCGCGUAGUC
rnacentral:rRNA from 1 species